rnacentral:rRNA from 1 species
UACGGAGGGUGCAAGCGUUAUCCGGAUUCACUGGGUUUAAAGGGUGCGUAGGCGGAUAGGUAAGUCCGUGGUGAAAUCCUGCAGCUUAACUGCAGAACUGCCAUGGAUACUAUCUAUCUUGAAUGUCGUGGAGGUUAGCGGAAUAUGUCAUGUAGCGGUGAAAUGCUUAGAUAUGACACAGAACACCCAUUGCGAAGGCAGCUAACUACGCGAUAAUUGACGCUGAUGCACGAAAGCGUGGGGAUCAAACAGG